UUUAUUGUGUCUUUUGCAUCUUU
rnacentral:snRNA from 1 species